CAUUUGCCCACCUGACCCACCCAUCAUUUGGCCCGCCCAAAACCCACCCAUUUAGUUAAAUGGGUCUAAUCGGGCGGGUUCCUCUCAAACCAAACUAAAUGGGUGCUAAAUGGGCGGUCUAUAUGCACCCGUUUGCCCACCCAUACUCCCAAAACCAAAACCCGACUCCAGCAAACCCUUCGCCUUCACUCUUCACCCUUCAGAAACUACCCGAUCUCAAAAAUCACGAUUUUCUCUCCUCUUCAUCUCUAGCUCGAGCUCGAGCUCGACCUCUAGCUUCCGACCUCCUCCUCUCCCCUCGAGCUCGACCUCGACCUCCGGCCUCCGAUCUCCUCUCUCCCUUGAGCUCGAGCUCUGCCUUCGAUCACCUCUGGCCUCUGAUCUCUUCUCCUUCGAUCUCCACUUCUCGACCUAGAUCUCUUCUCCUGCCCUUCGAUCUCCUCUUAUCUUUGAUCCCCAAUCCUCAGAUCAAGAGAAGGAGAUAGAAACAUAAUACAAGACAGCUCAGACUUCAGUGGCUGGAGUCAUGUGCUUACUGAUUGAACAAAUUUUAGAGCCUACCAAUCCGGUUUGAUAUGUCACACGCGCGAACACAGAUGUGGCCUUAAGGCAGUAUGUGAA